rnacentral:lncRNA from 1 species
AUUUCAUUUUCGUUUCACAAGCAAACAUUUGCUAAACUUCCAAAAUCGAAGGUCGCCGUUCUCGCUGCCUAUUUUUCCCAAAUCGAACUCCUCGCCACCGUUCUCGCCUCCUACUCUACUAUCGGAAAAGGUAAUUUUUAUUUAAUGAAAAUAAAUUUAGAAUUUAUUUAUGCUAUAAAGAAUAUAUAGUUUAGCCAAUAAAAAAUUUAGCAAAUAUUGUUACGUUAAAAAAUCAUACCAAACGUUUACACAUUAUAUACUCCCAGCUUGUGCUGAUUUGAAGUAGUAAAGAUGAGCUUUUAUAUAAAACUUCAUGUCAUGGAGCAUUACUCAAGACUUGAUCUUACACCCAACAUGGUGAAUGUAAGAAAUUCUAAAUUCUCUCGACCUACGGGUGGUAGACAUUGGAUUGUUAGUUCAAAUAGAGCCUUAGUUAUUGGAGUCAAAUUGAUUAUACUUAAUUUUAGCUACAGAUAAAUUUUCCAUGAUUGAGAUUGUUCAAAAGUUUUAUUUUGCAAUUUCUGAUAAUUUUAAUUGCAGACGCAAGUCACACAUGAAAAGUUUUUAUUCCUAUUACUUUACUUUAGAAGAGAAAGGGAACAACAAUUUACUCCACUAUUUUUCAAUUCUUGUGAGCAGCUGUAAUCUUCAUCUCUUUAACAUUGGAGAAAAAUAUGUUGAACUCCGCGCUGUUGUAAGUGUUUCACUAAACACUCCACGAAGACUUCGUCCAGAGCGGAGUGCUCAAAGUUUAGUUUUUUUUUUUGGACGUAUUUUUUGUAAUUUGGCCAUAACUUUUGCUACGGUUAUCAGAAUCGCGCCCAUGACUCCAAUUCGGAAAGCUUUGCUGGGUGGGCAUCGUUUUCGAGGUCAAAAUCCGUUAUUUUCCCUUCCAAAUUAUCAAUUAUAAUUAUUCUCUUACUUUCUAUCGUUCUAAAUAUUUAUCCUACUUAAAAAAAAUUGACGCCAUACACUUUUUAUAAAAAAAUGAUGUACACUGUAUUGAGAAAGUUAUCUCGCAAAAAUAAUAAACGUUAAGAAAAUAAUUGAUUUUUUAAGAAAAAAGACGAGUUAUACGCAUUUUUGAACACACACGUUUGAUAUACGUUUAACUAUUUUCGAUAUUUAUUUAAAUAAUUCAAUGUGUCUAUGAUAUAAUUUUCGAAAUGAGCUUUGAGAGAAUAUAAAUCAUUUAUGGAUUCAACUAUCGAACAAGCGUCG